GCUGAGGCCUGCCCCCAUCCUAGAGCAGAGGUCAGAGAACCUUUCCUCUUGGGGAGGGCUGUGGUCGACAGGGCGAUGAGGGCACGAGAAGGGUUUGACCACCAGGUAAUCAGGGAGGGCUUCCCUGUGCAGUGCCAUUCGGGAUGUGAUCAGAGGGGGGAAGCAGAGUCCACUGUGGCCCCAGGGCCCACAGGUCCUGGAGUGCCCCCACUGGGCACCAGGGCCACACAGCCACAAACAGCACCCAGGACACCGGCACGCCCUCAGCCCUGCCUCCCCCUGGCAUGCAGGCCAUGCCCUGGGACCCUGUUCUAGGGCGUCUAAUACAGAGGCCACUAGCC
rnacentral:lncRNA from 1 species